UACGGAGGGAGCUAGCGUUAUUCGGAAUUACUGGGCGUAAAGCGUACGUAGGCGGCUUGUUAAGUGAGAGGUGAAAUCCCAGAGCUCAACUCUGGAACUGCCUUUCAUACUGGCAAGCUAGAGUCCGGAAGAGGUAAGUGGAACUCCUAGUGUAGAGGUGGAAUUCGUAGAUAUUAGGAAGAACACCAGUGGCGAAGGCGGCUUACUGGUCCGGAACUGACGCUGAGGUGCGAAAGCGUGGGGAGCAAACAGG
rnacentral:rRNA from 1 species